CCUACGGGUGGCUGCAGUGAGGAAUAUUGGUCAAUGGGCGUAAGCCUGAACCAGCCAAGUCGCGUGAGGGAUGAAGGUUCUAUGGAUCGUAAACCUCUUUUAGAAGGGAAUAAAGUGUGGGACGUGUCCUAUUUUGUAUGUAACUUAUGAAUAAGGAUCGGCUAACUCCGUGCCAGCAGCCGCGGUAAUACGGAGGCUCCGAGCGUUAUCCGGAUUUAUUGGGUGUAAAGGGUGCGUAGGCGGCCUUUUAAGUCAGCGGUGAAAGUCUGUGGCUCAACCAUAGAAUUGCCGUUGAAACUGGGGGGCUUGAGUAUGUUUGAGGCAGGCGGAAUGCGUGUUGUAGCGGUGAAAUGCUUAGAUCUCACGCAGAACCCCGAUUGCGAAGGCAGCCUGCCAAGCCAUGACUGACGCUGAUGCACGAAAGCGUGGGGAUCAAACAGGAUUAGAUACCCCUGUAGUC
rnacentral:rRNA from 1 species